rnacentral:rRNA from 1 species
GACGAACGCUGGCGGCGUGCUUAACACAUGCAAGUCGAACGAAGAGCGACGGAAGCUUGCUUCUAUCAAUCUUAGUGGCGAACGGGUGAGUAACGCGUAAUCAACCUGCCCUUCAGAGGGGGACAACAGUUGGAAACGACUGCUAAUACCGCAUACGAUCUAAUCUCGGCAUCGAGGAUGGAUGAAAGGUGGCCUCUACAUGUAAGCUAUCACUGAAGGAGGGGAUUGCGUCUGAUUAGCUAGUUGGAGGGGUAACGGCCCACCAAGGCGAUGAUCAGUAGCCGGACUGAGAGGAUGAACGGCCACAUUGGGACUGAGACACGGCCCAGACUCCUACGGGAGGCAGCAGUGGGGAAUCUUCCGCAAUGGACGAAAGUCUGACGGAGCAACGCCGCGUGAGUGAUGACGGCCUUCGGGUUGUAAAGCUCUGUUAAUCGGGACGAAAGGCCUUCUUGCGAAUAGGGAGAAGGAUUGACGGUACCGGAAUAGAAAGCCACGGCUAACUACGUG